GAUGAAGAACGCAGCGAAAUGCGAUAAGUAAUGUGAAUUGCAGAAUUCAGUGAAUCAUCGAAUCUUUGAACGCACAUUGCGCCCGCCAGUAUUCUGGCGGGCAUGCCUGUCUGAGCGUCAUUUCAACCCUCAUGCCCCUAGGGCGUGGUGUUGGGGAUCGGCCAAAGCCCGCGAGGGACGGCCGGCCCCUAAAUCUAGUGGCGGACCCGUCGUGGCCUCCUCUGCGAAGUAGUGAUAUUCCGCAUCGGAGAGCGACGAGCCCCUGCCGUUAAACCCCCAACUUUCCAAGGUUGACCUCAGAUCAGGUAGGAAUACCCGCUGAACUUAAGCAUAUCAAUAAGCGGGAGGA
rnacentral:misc_RNA from 1 species